rnacentral:rRNA from 2 species
AAGGUCAUGGCGAGACGAGCCGUUACAAACGAUAGGUGUCAAGUGGAAGUGCAGUGAUGUAUGCAGCUGAGGCAUCCUAAGAGACCGGAAGAUUUGAAC